UAUCUUGACAAAUGCACUCUUCCUUCUGCAGGUUUUCCCAUGCCCUCUUUUGGACUUGAAGGGGGUCAUUGGGAUAAUAAGGCUUGAUAACUCCCUGGACUUAGGAAGCAAGAGAGCAGGAGUCAAGAAAAGCUUUUGUGCUUUUUGGUUUCUGUAGAAAAUAUGAUGGAUUGAGAUGAACUUUUAAAAAACAGGCCUAAUGAAGAAAAGCAGAUUUGAGGAGGAAAGCUUUGGUAGGCAGCCUGAAAUUGCUCAUCAAGGAAAAAGACCAGACUUGGAUUUUAAAUGGCUUCUUCUGAAUGAAGCAAUUAAUGCUAAAAGGAACAUGUUGUCUCCUCAGCAUUUAAAAGGUUCCGUUUGUCAAAUGUGUGUGACCCUUAUGAUAAGUCACCAGAGGUGAUGAGGGAGAGAGAGAAAAAAAGAAAAUUACAACUGUAAAUAGUCUCCGAACAGUGAAAGAUCAAAACAGACAGUCUCUGGCUUUACCGGAUGAGUCACCGUUGCAGCCCGACCGCAAAAACAAGCGUGGCUUCUCUGCUUAGCAGCAGUCUUCCUGUCUGGAAAGGAAACACUGUUCAGAUUGGAGAUACUGGCCAUUUUACAGACUUCAAAGCAACUUAGGCAACUGAACUGUCAGGUGGGAAAACAGGUAAAACAAUUUUCCUAGAGUUUGUCUGGAGAAUCAGCUACUCAACUCUGAUUUGAAGCUGCAUGGAAAUACUUUCAUCUUUAGCCAAAAAUGUUUUAUUUUAAAAAGUUUUAGUAAGAUGGUCUUCAGUUCUAGAGUAGUGUGUCUAUUUUUCCUCAAACAAUGUAAGUUAUUUUUUCCAGGAAGAGACUUGUUUCCAGGCACUGAGCUAGGUUCUAAGGGAGAUGGAGGUGUAAUCAACAUGAGGACCAUCUAAUGAGGAAGUGGGACCAGUACCCGUAUCAUGACAGUAGGAAAGGAAAUAUGUGCUAAAAACAGGGGAACCAUGAUGCCAUGAUGGUGCUGGCAAAUGAGAGAUGGGUAUUGAUGAACGUUAUCCGAUGAGAGACUAGUGUAGAGAAAGUCCUAUGUGUAUUCAAGAUUCAGCAAUGAGGCUAAUUUAGCUUGAAAUAUAACAUACAAAUAAGGAAGUAGAAGAAAUAAAACUGGG
rnacentral:lncRNA from 13 species